rnacentral:rRNA from 1 species
UACGUAGGGGGCAAGCGUUAUCCGGAUUUACUGGGUGUAAAGGGAGCGUAGACGGCAGUGCAAGUCUGAAGUGAAAGGCGGGGGCCCAACCCCCGGACUGCUUUGGAAACUGUGCUGCUGGAGUGCAGGAGAGGCAAGUGGAAUUCCUAGUGUAGCGGUGAAAUGCGUAGAUAUUAGGAGGAACACCAGUGGCGAAGGCGGCUUGCUGGACUGUAACUGAUGUUGAGGCUCGAAAGCGUGGGGAGCAAACAGG